rfam:Aedes albopictus isolate Foshan contig101717, whole genome shotgun sequence.
GGCUCGGUAGCUUAGUUGGUAAAGCACUUGCCUAGCGAAUAAGGGUUGUGAGUUCAAAUCUUACCUGAGCUG